rnacentral:rRNA from 1 species
UUUUAUGAGAGUUUGAUCCUGGCUCAGGACGAACGCUGGCGGCGUGCCUAAUACAUGCAAGUAGAACGCUGAAGUCUGGUGCUUGCACUAGACGGAUGAGUUGCGAACGGGUGAGUAACGCGUAGGUAACCUGCCUCAUAGCGGGGGAUAACUAUUGGAAACGAUAGCUAAUACCGCAUAACAGUAUUUACCGCAUGGUAGAUAUUUGAAAGGAGCAAUUGCUUCACUAUGAGAUGGACCUGCGUUGUAUUAGCU